GUUGUUGAAUGAUCCCGUGCCGUUGCUGUCGCAAUGCUUUCGCCUUGGCGGUUGACUUGCCGGGCGCCGCCGCGGCCGGAGCUGGGUUCGGUCGGCGCGGCACCGCACCGUUAAUGGUAGGGGAGGUGGAGGUUGUGGACGUGUGCUACCAGGUGCUGCUACAUCUCUCGAGACUCGAGUGGUGGCGCCUGGCGCGUUCGAGGCAGUGGCCGGCGUGAUGUUUGACGAAAUGCCUGAGAGCUAUUGAACAAAAGGCUGCAGCGAUGCGUCUAGUUUCUUCAUCGGUAACCUAUACUAAGCUACGAACGGGGGACGAUUGGCAAGAAGGCACUGACACCAGGGCGUCAAGCUCACAGCGAUGUUUAUUAAAGCCUCUCAAAGGCAGUGCUACCUGUAUUGAGAUUAUAUGGGCAUAGGCGUCAGACCGAAUGGAUUAAUCACUCAUUGCUGUGUGAAUCAUAAGAGGGAUGAUUGGUAAAAGGCACUAACGUGGAUGAUGCUCACUUCACACCAUUAAAUCCACUGGUUCACAGAUUCAGACAGAGUCGAAGGAGCAUAUGAAAGGUUUUUAUGUCAUCUUUUGGUGGAUGUGGAUGCACUAUGAAAAGGAGCUCAUGGGACAGGGUAAGGAUGAUACUGUGAUGGAUGUAAGCACUACUUCGAAACUUGAGUGUUGAGUCUUAUAUGGUAGCUAUGUAGACCUUGUGCACAAAGUGCUUCUAAUACGGAAACCAGAAAUGUUAAGUGAACAA